GUCUGAGGCCGCAACGGCCGGAAGGCGCCCGAUCUCGUCCCAUCUGGGAAGCUAAGCAGGGUCGCGCCCGGUCGGGACCUGGAUGGGAGACCAUCUGGGAAGCUAAGCAGGGUCGGGCC
rnacentral:rRNA from 1 species